rnacentral:rRNA from 1 species
UACGUAGGCAGCGAGCGUUGUUCGGAGUUACUGGGCGUAAAGGGUGUGUAGGCGGUUCUUUAAGUUUGGUGUGAAAUCUCCCGGCUUAACCGGGAGGGUGCGCCGAAUACUGAGGGACUAGAGUACGGGAGAGGAAAGUGGAAUUCCUGGUGUAGCGGUGAAAUGCGUAGAUAUCAGGAGGAACACCUGUGGUGUAGACAGCUUACUGGACCAUUUCUGACGCUGAGACACGAAAGCGUGGGUAGCAAACAGG